rnacentral:lncRNA from 1 species
CUGUUCUUGGGUUGCUGGUAUAAACCUCUAUCGAUAAAGCCAUAGUUUUAUUUUUCCUUUGGUGAUGUCAUUCUUAUGUUUGUCUAUUCUUUAGGCCAGGGUUUGAGUUAUCAUCCCUAUAUAUAAUGCUUGUUGCUGGGUUAGGUGUACCACUGGUAUCCUGUAGACAUCUUGUUUCUCUCUUUUUAAAAAAGGCCCUUCAUGUGCUAUCCUGGCUAGAACAGCAGCUGUAGAUGACAUACCAAUAGUAGAGAACUUAAUAACUACCAUAUACAACCAGGCAAAAGAUAGGUUCAGAUGAGCAUAUCUUAACCAAAAAAAUGAGCAAAGCCAAUCACAAGAAAGAGAGCCUCAGUCAGCAUGACAUAUGCCUUGUCAGACAAACAAUUUCCUGGCUUAACAAUUUACACUCUGUCAAGGGAAGACAAAACCAAGAAGAUGGUACUAUUGGAUAGGAAGUAACUCUGAUUAUUUCUUGGAAGAGUACAUCAAAAAACUAGACCUAAGCAAAUGGCCAUGGAUCCUACUCUGAAGCUGGCAGCUGCAGUAAACAAGCUAACUAAACAUAAGAUGGCAGAAAUAGUCCUUAGAGACAUUGAAAAUCAAACUUUCCAGCCAGAUUUGAGAUUUUAUAUUAGAUAUAUUGAUGGCAUUAUGACUGUAUGGAGUAGUAACAUAAGGAUACAAGAUCUCACUGAGGCAUUCACACUGGAUGUGUAUGAUUUCACACUAAGGAUGGAACAAGUAAGCCAAGAAACUAUACAUUUUCUAAACAUCAAGCUAACUAUUAGUAAUGGGAGGC